ensembl:lncRNA
CCACCACUGUGGCUUAGUGGCAAAGUCUGUAUAGAAGCCAGGAUAGGUAGAAGCUGGGAUAUAGCAAUACCAUAGAAAGUAUUUAUUAAAAAAAAAUUGUUCUUCAAGUAAAAUUCAUCUAUGUAAAGAUCUACAUAAAGGAGAUAUGUCUGCUUCGUUACUUCAGAUUAUUUUUUAGAUAAAUUGUUAAAAUAAUGCCAUCCUGAGAAAUCACUGCCUAAUUCUGAAGUCACAGUUAAGACAGCAUCCAACAAGCCAAAUCCUCCCUGGAGAUGAAUUAGAAACGUCUUUCCUUCAAGAGAAGAAACACAGUGAGGCCCAGGAAUGGAGACCGUAUUAAUCACCCUCUCACCCGGCUAAAGAAAUACAGAUGAUUAUUGUAUUCUGCAGAAGCAAAGGCUUCUGGUUAUUAGCGCCAGGCACAACUGGAGGCACCACGCUGCACACUGCGUUACAGCCACCACAACAGAGGAGAUGCUGCUUAAGAUGCUGCAGUAUCAGACACACGAAUGUGCAGAGUCACUAAAGUUCACUUCAUGAAAAAUACAAUAUACUCUGGGAAGGAAGUAUGAUUGAUGUCCCCUGAGCAGACUGUUUAUCAGACAAACACAUUUUGCAAACUUUGACAUAAAUUCUUCGUUUUCUU